UGAGCAAUCUGCCGAUUACUGGGGGAUAGCCGGCCCAACGGCCGGGUAAUACCGCAUACGCUCAUUGGGGGACAUCCCCCGAUGAGGAAACCUCCGGGGGUAAUCGAGGAGCUCGCGUCUUAUCAGCUAGUUGGCGGGGGGAACGGCCCACCAAGGCUACGACGGGUAGCUGGUCUGAGAGGAUGGCCAGCCACAUUGGGACUGCGACACGGCCCAGACUCCUACGGGAGGCAG
rnacentral:rRNA from 1 species